UACGUAGGGGGCAAGCGUUGUCCGGAUUUAUUGGGCGUAAAGAGCGUGUAGGCGGCUAGGUAGGUCCGUUGUGAAAACUCGAGGCUCAACCUCGAGACGCCGGUGGAAACCAUCUAGCUAGAGUCCGGAAGAGGAGAGUGGGAAUUCCUGGUGUAGCGGUGAAAUGCGCAGAUAUCAGGAAGAACACCCGUGGCGAAGGCGGCUCUCUGGGACGUGACUGACGCUGAGGAGCGAAAAGUGUGGGGGAGCGAACAGG
rnacentral:rRNA from 1 species